rnacentral:rRNA from 1 species
UACGUAGGGUGCGAGCGUUAAUCGGAAUUACUGGGCGUAAAGCGUGCGCAGGCGGUUUGCUAAGACAGGUGUGAAAUCCCCGGGCUUAACCUGGGAACUGCGCUUGUAACUGGCAAGCUUGAGUGUGGCAGAGGGGGGUGGAAUUCCACGUGUAGCAGUGAAAUGCGUAGAGAUGUGGAGGAACACCGAUGGCGAAGGCAGCCCCCUGGGCUAACACUGACGCUCAUGCACGAAAGCGUGGGGAGCAAACAGG